rnacentral:lncRNA from 1 species
GUAAGUCUCAUAUCUGUGGGUGGGGUUGAGGAAAAUAGGCAAAAGUUAAGGUUCUAUUGGAAAACCAGAAACCAAUGUAAGAGAUACUUAAUCCUUCCACACACACACACACAAAAAAAAAAUCUUAUUAAGGUGGACAAAAGUAUAUUGGGUUUCUCUUUUUAAAAAGCUUCUGUAGGUUGGGGAUAUAGUACAGUUGGUAG